AUAUAUAUAUAUAUAUAUAUAUAUAUAUAUAUAUAUAUGUGUGUGUGUGUGUGUGUGUGUGAGAAGUUCUUAUAUUAUAGCAUGAACUCUUCACAUCGAUUGAAGACUUCACUUCUGAAGCAAAGGUCUUCAUUCUUUUUAUUUUAUAAGCUCUGUAAAGAGAUAAAAGAUAGAGCCCGUGUUCUUCGUAUAUAGCAGUUUCAUACUUCUUGUAUUUUCACGUGUAUGUUUAACUAGUUUCACAUUUUCUUGGAAAUGAUUAUCUGAUUUUGGUUUGGGAAAGUAUUCUGAUUUUGUGGCACAUUUUAUCGUGUUUUUUUUUCUGCUGUAUAAUUUUUUUUAUAUAUAUAUAUUUUAAAAAAAAAAACUUUUCUUAAUACUCGCUUACUUCCUUAGCAUCUUAACCAGUUUUAUAUCACAUAAAAUAUACAUAUAUAUAUAUAAUAUAUUUAAUAUAUGUUUAUACUCACUCUCAUAACUCCGUUAGUUUAUUUCAUGCCUCUGCGUUUAAGAAGUUGCACGCGUCUUAUGCCUAACGAGCACGUUUCAUACUCCCACACCUAACCUCGUUUGUAUUCACCCUAAUAUGACCUCAUUUACACUCCCGUCCUCUUCCUACGUUAAUAAACUGUUUGGUUAUUAAUCGUUUGGUCCAGGUAGAGUUGGACCACCGUAGACCGCAGUAAUUAACGUGUUUCAGACUCCUGACCUUGUUGGAGACGAAGCCAUACUUAAGGUGGUCCUUACGUCCAUGCUUAAAGGUGCAACAGUCGAUGUUUGUAUUUCGUGCAAAUAACCUGACGACAACAACGACAACGACAGCAGCUUCGGAUUCAGUCUGCGAAAGUCGCUGAGAAACCCUGUUCGGAAAAGCGACUUCCCAUGCCUCCUGUCGGUCGUUUUAUAAACAGUCUACGGGUCACCGAAGAUCCUGGGGGCAGAGCUUCAUAAACAUGGAGGCAGGAGUGUGGGGGUGAGCUCAGGAAUCAUCCAAAUCUCAGAAUCCACCUAAAACAACCUAGACUAGACUAGUAGAGUCUAAUCAGGGGGCGUUUGGUUACUUUAAACUUUUAUUUUAGACAGGGUGUAAGGAGUAAGUCGUUAAAUAAAAACGCACGUUCGUGUAGUGUUGUGCGUGCACGAGCUCUCGAUUAGUCAAACCCAUCUUUUAGCUGUCGCCCAAUAACACGAAACAAGCAGGAGAUCGUCGAGACGCAUCGCACGGCAUAUACGCAGUCUCCGUCUCUAUCUCCUAAUCAAUAGGCUGAUUAUUACAGCUCAGUCACUCUCUCGCUCUCCCGUUCCGACGUCUCUCUUGUUGACCUGCGCCGAAUAACAAUUAAGCCAAUUGAGACUCCGGCGGCCAUUUUGGAAAGUCCGGUCACGUCAGUACAGUUAUAGCCGCUGCGGUCUCUCUCACUGGAGAGAUUUUUACGCCGCUUUUUGUCUUUUAGCUCUCACUUAGCUGUGUACAUUACAGAUCCUACUGCGGCGGAAGGCUCCGAGGGCCUCGGGGUGCGACCCGCAAGCGCGUCGCGCCGAAACGCUUCCCCGCCGCGCUUCCAAUCACACCGCAUUUUACCGCGCAAUAAACGGUCAUCAUUUUGAACGUCUGAGUGUCUUCCAUACACACUUCUUAGUGCUUAGUGUCAUUCUGCUAACCAGGAAGUCAUGUUGAGUGUCUUCCCUAAUAUAGCACGGACCUGAACGCAAAAUUUGGUGUGGCUUAUUAGUUGCAAAUCAUUUCGUAAAAUAACCCCGAUAAACGUAUUUAGAAACCAUGUUCGCUUAUUCAACGUUUAGCUUUAUAACGGCUCUCCAAGACGGCCGCUCCUACGCUCCCGAGCGUGUCUUGCUCAUGACCUACGACCUGGGAUCUAGUCUCGGACCUUGGAUUACCUCUAGUGGCUUGUUCUUCCGCAUGUUCUCGACAACAUUUCCAGAUCGCAGCAUCCUUAAUGUUAAAAACGUCCCGCUCGUGCCCAAGCAUCCGUGUCAGACCUCCAUACUGUACGUCAACUGUACGUCAGAUUAUAAAGCACACUCUAGACAGGACAGAUUUAUUGUACCUUUCAGGUUAAGUGGAAAAGAACCUCUUGUCUGGGCGUAAUUGUAAAGUCAGCCGUACCGACUCCAGGCGAUAACGUUACAAAGGAAUAUAUUAGAGCUCCGUUUCACUGUCGUGUUCAGCGACGUUCACCAAAGCGUAUCCCUAAUAACGGACACCUUGUAAUUCGAGUAAUAUAGAGCUGGUAGAAACGAGAGACAGGCAGAUAGAGAGAAAGCGACGUGAGAGAAUAGUGAUAGACGGUUACGUGAUACAGAGAAAAAGCCGCAUGUGUUUCUCUUGCUAGUCCGCGCUCGAGUAUAUGAGUGCGUACGCUAUAGAGCGCUGAAGCAUCAUACCGAAGGGCAUGAAAUCCUAUUACACAGCACAGAGAGAGAGAGAGAGAGAGAGAGAGAGAGAGAGAGAGAGGACAUGUGUGGAUAAAGCAUUGUCUGUGGCCAGUCCCUGUGAAAUAACUUGAUACCAAAAACAAAUAACUCUUUUCUCCUGUCACUCACUCCACUCUCUCCUGCUUUUUCUUCAUUAUUUCUUUUCCCUCUGCCCUUCUGUCUGCCUCUCUCUCUCUCUCUCUCUCUCACGCUCGCGCUCUCUCUCUCUGUUUGCCUGCAAUGAAAAUGCAAAGUUGCAAAUCUUGCGCCGCCAUUAAAGUUUAAACACUCUUGUAUUACUUCGUGACCGAGCCCAAAGGCCGUUUAAAAUUGACGGACGUGGGAAUCCAGAGAGACCCGGGUUCAUCCUGUUUACCGCAAACGUUCCGGAUUUUUAGAAGCACGCUAACAGGACGCGAACGUAGCGAGUGAACGUGAAAGACGACGUAUCUUAUCCGAUAACGAUCACUUCUGUGAUCACGUUUGCCUUACGCCUUUCUCAGGGUACACCUUAUCGCCGCAGGUCAGUCAAGAGAUUAGUCAGGAUUCAAUGAGUCAGUUGGGUUUCUGCGUGUAGAGUAUCAUGACUCUGCGUUUAGCGACGGGGAAAGUAGAACCAUGGCUAAAAUCCUCAGGCCGUCCUUGAGUUCUUUUUAAAACGGCCAGUAAUUUGUGGUGAGGACGGAAACGCUUGAUGUUGUACAGAUUGUAUGAAGAAAAUCUUUUAGAAAGAAAUAAAAAUGACAGGAUAGAGCAUUUAUUUCAGUAUGCAGGAGAAGACGUUUCUUCUCUAGGGUCAUGUAUGGGUUUGUGCUUCUGUCACACACACACACACACACACACGCACACACACGCACGCACACACGCAAUUUUGUAUUAUGACGUGGAUUCUAAGAAUAGAAAGCUGUAAAAUCACACACACACACACACACACACACAAUCACACACACGCUUAUUUCUGCCCGGAUUGAUGCUAAUUGGCAGCAGAAUGUCUUGCUGACAGGCUUCCUGCCUCCUUCUCCUCUCUCCUUCUCUCCCUCCUCUCUCUCUCUCUCUCUCUCUCUCUCUCUCUGUCUCCUCAUGUGACAGGACAGAGAUCCACCGUCAACUCUACCGCAGAUAUAAACCAGCAGGGAUCGUCAAGGUCUUUAAACACAUACGAGGAGCUCGGGAGGAUUUCUCCCCACGCCCGUCCUCUCAGACGUUUAGUCUCUUUCGGACUCCUCCCAUCCUCCUCGGCUGUUUAGCGAUAAGCGACAUUAGAUCACGAUCGCUGAUCCAUCUCAAGUCGUCAGGCAUCAAACAGAUUCCUUCAAUCGGUAGUGGCCUGAAACAGAAAUGUCGCGCUCUCUUCUUCACGCCGGAUCAGUGUGGUCCAUCUGUAAUAGACGGUUCUGAUUUUAGAUGCCCCUCUCAGCAGGCGCUCUGCUUGUGCGGCUUGAGUACGAGCUGACAGUUAACAAAGUGCAGGCGACUCGCAUGGGCGGAGGAGCGUGUCCCGGCUGGCUGCGUUUUUUUUUUUUUUUUUUCGUUUUUUUUUUUUUCCUCGAGCUCGAUGCUCGCAUUUAAACACAGAUCACACCGCUUUAGCUUCUUCAUUUAUUUAUCAGUGCUAAUGUCUCCUUCCUGGGUUAAGCCGAUAAGAUAUAUUAUCCCGUGCUCUUAUAAAAUACGAAACAACCCUUUAAUACGUCUGAGAGUGUUGGAACGGCAAGGCCAGUUCAUUUUUCAAAUGAAUUUUGCUGUAGAGCGAUUUCAGCUUUCAUUUCCUGGUAUUUAUUUAUACGUGGCUGUGUCAAACAACACGUGUAGAACAUAGCACAGUUUGGAUCAGGCUACACAAAAAUAUUGGAACGCGUGACUGACAGGUGUUUCUUGUUACCCAGGUGUGUCCUGUUAGAUGGACUGUUUAAAGAAUAAAUAGCUCCGGAUAUCUACUCUCGGUUUUAGCCUUCAGUUUCACCCGUGCAUUUGUCGUUAAAAAGGACAAACCAACAUGAAGAUCAGAGAGCUGUCUAUGGAAGAAAAGCAAGCCGUUGUAAAGCGGAGAAAAGACGGACGAUCGAUCGGAGCCAUUGCACAAACAUUGGGCAUAGCCAGUAGAACGACGAGAUGUCAGGAAAAAGAAAGAAACCACCGGCGUACUGAGGAACAGACACCGAAUGGGUCGAGCAAGGACAACGACAGCAACUGAUGACAGAAACGUUGUCCGUGCCGUGCGUGAUAUUUACUUUAGUUUACUUUAAGACUUACCUGUUCCUAUACAUUUGCUCGACUAACGAUCGGGUGGUCUGAUACAAAAGGUUCUAUGUUUUGCGGUGUUUAACACAUCUAAAUGUAAAUACCAGGAAAUAGAAGCUGAAAUCCUCAACUCUCAUCUCACACCCAUGUCUUUGGUGUAUGUCACAAACAAAUGAAUUGGCCUCGCCGUUCCAAUAGUUUUGGAGGGGACUGUACAUGAGAAAGCAAAAAAAAACGGUUUCUUAGUGCUGUGCAUGACCGUGUGUCUUAGGCCAUCUUGUGAUAAUAGAGGUGUGUGUGUGUGUCUAUUCUACUCGUGUCGAAAACCUGUGUGCUACAGUCUACACAGCCGUGUAACUGUCUCUAAAAGUGUCCAGAGAGAGAGAGCGAGAGAACGAGAGAGAACGAUAGAACUAGAGAGAGUGAGAGAGACUUACCUAGGCCAGUCUAAUCUGAAGCCAGCAGCUGUAACAGUCAGAGUAUUACCGUGAACCCGCUCCUGUGGUGUGUAGGUUAAGCAGUGAUAGGGCCCCGUAAUCUAAAGAAGCGUUCUGCUUUUCUUGGCUGGAGGAAGAAAAAAAAAAAAAAAAAGCCCAAAAGAACGAUGAGCUCACGCAGCCUUACUCAGCAGGAGCACACUUUAUGCUUACUGCGAAUAAUCUGAUAACUAAACCUUCGUCAUGGAAAAAAAAACAAACAACAACCUCACACACCUUAUACAUCUUCCGCACUGUGCGCUUCUAGCAUAAAUGCGACAGCUCAUCAGUUUCUCUCUUGCCAUAAAGGAAUACUUUAGAGACACUACAUAAUGAGGAUUUAUUUUUUUUAACGAUGAUGAUGAUGAUCAUGAAGGGUGGAUUGAAUCCAUAUAAUGGAGGAAGCCAUAAGGAAAUAGUAUUUGUACUGGUUAUUUGUGUGUUGAGUAAACGGUAAUUGUUUCUGGAUUUGUAAAAAAAAUAAAAUAAAUAAAUUGCACAAUUAUUAUAUGUUUUUUUAAAAAUUGUAUUUAUCCAUUAGCCUAUUUUGUUCUUCGUGAACAUGUGCCCAGGGUCGGGGGUUCGAUUCCCACCGUGGCCCUGUGUGUGCGGAGUUUGCAUGUUCUCCCCGUGCUGCGGGGGUUUCCUCCCCGAGUCCAAACACAUGCAUGGUAGGCUGAUUGGCAUGUCCAAAGUGUCCGUAGUGAGUGAAUAGGUUCCAGGUUUCCCCGUGACCCUGAAAAGGAUAAGCGGAGGAAGAUGGAUGGGAUGGGAUGUUAUAGUCAGAGUGUAGAGUAUCAAAAACAGUAAAAAUACCAUUAGUAAGACAAAAGAAAAAAUACUUGCGUAAUAGUUUCUAAUCUGAAUAUCUACUUGAGUAAUGUAUGUCGUUUAAAGUAGCUGUUCGUCAUGAAACAGACUGAGUGUUAAUACAUGCAGAUGCAUCUGAUUUAAAAACUCUUACUAUGAAGAUGUUAAGAUUCGAUGGGGAACAUUAGCACAUCUGCCUCACACCUAAAGGGUUGGGGGUUCGAUUCCCACCUCCACCCUGUGUAUACGGAGUUUGCAUGUUCUUUUCCUUCUCGGGGGUUUCCUCCGGGUACUGCGGUUUCCUCCUACAGUCCAGAGACAUGCAUUGGCAUGAUUGGCAUGUCCAAAUUGUCCGUAGUGUGUGUGUGUGUGUGUGUCUGUGAUUGUGCCCUGCGAUGGGUUUUCGCCCCGUCCAGGGUGUCCCCUGCCUUGUGCCACGAGUUCCCUGGGAUAGGCUCCAGGCUCCCUGCGACCCUGUGUAGGAUAAGCGGUAUGUAAAAUGGAUGGAUGUAUAUUAAGAUUCUAAGCGAGAGCUUCUGCUUGCUGUGACCUGCUUAUAGCGUUUAGCGUUCUCAUACAGCAGGGUGUCAGACACAGCGCUUAAAUGAUCAUUUAGUUAACGUUUUGUUUUAUUCACCUUCCAUUAUCUUCCAUCCUCUACUGCAUGCAGGAGUGUUUAUAAGCACAGUCCAAUGUUAAACAUGCUGUAACAGAGUAAGGGUAUAUUCAUAUUUACUAAUGUACUGUGCCUUGUCUUACUUGGACGUAGCCUCUCGUGUUGCUUUUGCGCCAUGAAGCUGAAUGGUCCUACUUGCGGUUUGUUGUCAAGCCGAAUAUUUGAUUAUGUGAAAUUAGGAAGUCAAUUCUUAUUUCUUGAACAUAGAUCUCAAUGUGGAAGGGUGAUCCAGACGAUCCUUUGUUGGAUCUGGAGUAAGCCUUUGUUGGAUCCAGACGAUCCUUUGUUGGAUGUGGUGUGAUCAUUUUUUGGAACCAGACGAUCCUUUGCCGGAUCCGGAGUGUCCUUUGUUAGAUGUGGUGUGAUAAUUUUUGGAUCCAGACGAUCCUUUGUCGGAUCUGGAGUUAUCCUUUAUUGGAACCAGACGAUCCUUUGUUGGAUCUGGAGUGAUCCUUUGUUGGAACCAGAUGAUCCUUUGUUGGAUCCAGAGUGAUCCUUUGUUGGAACCAUACGAUCCUUUGUUGGAUGUGGAGUGAUCCUUUGUUGGAUCCAGACGAUCCUUUGUUGGAUCUGGAGUUAUCCUUUAUUGGAACCAGACGAUCCUUUGUUGGAUCUGGAGUGAUCCUUUGUUGGAACCAGACGAUCCUUUGUUGGAUGUGGAGUGAUCCUUUGUUGGAACCAGACGAUCCUUUGUCGGAUCCGGAGUGAUCCUUUGUUGGAACCAGAUGAUCCUUUGUUGGAUCCGGAAUGAUCCUUUGUUGGAUCUGGAGUGAUCCUUUGUUGGAACCAGAUGAUCCUUUGUUGGAUCUGGAGUAUUAAUCUGCCCAGAAACAUCAGCUAGUGAAAGACAAAGGUCCUAAUGUCAGCUUUUUUCUUGUGCUGGCACUGGUCUACAGUAACGCUGAUGGUUGGACACAAUCCAAUUUUUUGUGCCAGUUUUUAUCUUCAUCAUAAAUGAAGGGGUGGAGCGGCACAAAAUGAGGGCGUUUCGAAUGAUAAUCAUUCCAAACUCUUUCUAAUAGUUGUUAAUUUCUCACAGCUGUUAGACAUGAGUAAUAUGCCAAGUUUGACUCUUUUGUUUAGCACGACUUUCCUGAGUAGAUUAGUUUCUAUAUGCAAGCUCUUCACCUGCAGCGAUCUCUGGCAGUAGCCUCAUGACUGACCCCUAAUAAAAAAGAAAAAAGGCGUGUAGCUGAGUAAAAGAAGGUAAAGGAUAAAUAAGAAUUUUGACUUUCUACGUAUAUGCAAAUCUGAACACCGACAUUAUGCUAAGCCGGCAUUUGAACAGCAAACACUCUUCAAACACGAUGAUUUACAGAAAUAAAUCACUAGAGCAAGCCGAGUCUGGCAUCUCAGCGGUGGGAAACGAUGCGUCGAGGCCACUCGGGUAGUUGACUCCUCAUUUGGAGGCUUCAGAGCGAGUGACUAAUUUACGCUGCCGGACAUGAAAGGAGCUUUGAAGAAACCGUUUGGUUGAGCGUCUCUGGGUCCUAGUGCCUAUCCGUUAAUAGAAACCCAGUCAGGCUUCCAGUGAGCGUGUUCCCUGUUUGACUCAUGAACAUUGAUCAGUUAGAAUGUCAAGAUUAAAGACUGACGGACAUAAGGAAAGAGUCAUUUUAAGCUAUUUAGGGUGCGUUCACAAAAGAUUGGAGACUUGUUGUACGUGGAAAAUGUUGCAUCGACCAUCUAUAUACGGUGGUCCGUGACAGUGAAGCGCUGACUUUCUUGGAACUGAAGGCAUAUACAGUAAUCAUACACAAGCGUAUACGUACAAUUGAGCUGCACCAAGAUGGUGCAGAUGUCCCCUCCAUCCACCAUAUUUAUUUAGGAGGGUAAUAUGAUGGACAAACUGCUCAAUUAAGUAUUAAACUUGGGGCUGGAUCUGGCUCAGAUUUACUGACUAUCACUCAUGCUGCGUUCUCAUAGGUGAAGUUUUUAAGGUGGUGUUUAUAUUUUUAGGUGUUUGGCUUUCUUUUUUCGACCUUAACGCUGCAGGGGAAGAGGUAUGUGUGUGUGUGUGUGUGUGUGUGUGGGUGUGUGUACUUAUUCCUGUGCCGAAUUAGAACCUGCUGAUGGCUGCAAUUUGUGCUUGUUGUCUUGCACCCGGGCCAUCAAGAGGCUGGUGGUUGCUACAAGUCAAAUUUGGGAACACGCAAUUAGCAGCUGGCUAAGGAGCUGCAGCACACAGCACUUUUGACCCCCCCAUUAGAGAGAGAGAGAGAGAGAGAGAGAGAGAGAGAGAGAGAGUGAGUUCAGGAACAAACAAGCACACAUUGCAAACCUGCAGACAGAUGUUCGGAGGAAUGCGGUGUUUUAUCUUGUGUUUCAAACCCCAGCCCUGAUAACACUCUCUCUCUCUCUCUCUCUCUCUCUCUCUCUCUCUCUCUCUCUCUCCCUCUUUCUUUCUCCUCUUAUUAUCCCUUGUCCACAGACACACAGUACUCCAGAAAUGCAGAUCUUUGUGAAACGCUACCAUAAGCAAAAUAAGCCAUAACCCGUAAUGACAAUUCUCACAUUACAGUGUGGUAAUUUGUUUUAUUCCAUUUUAUUUUCGAGUCUGACUUUGGACUCUGCGAGUUCAUGAACGUUUGACAUCUAUCGUCUAUCGACGUGUUCUUGCGGUUUUAUUAUAACAGACAUCUCAAACAUCAUCACCGCUCUUGCAUUCUUUUCUCCCUCUGGAAAUACGGUGCUCAGAAAGCGCCAUAAACACAGGCUCCUUCUUACGGACAUAUUUGAAAGUAGUAUCUCGAUUCAGCAAUGUUUUAUUUAGCAUCUCCUCCUUAUAUCCCGAGUCGUUUUAGUUAUCGACCGACCAACAGAAUUCUGACAAACUACGUAAUGCUUCAGGAAUCACAAUCUGAAAUCCGAAGUUUCGACAGUCAGUUUUUCCGUGCUGAGUCAAAGUCUUUGCUAAUAACAUAGCUAAUUAGUGAAGCUUUCGGACAGACAGGUAUCCCCAAAGGCCCUCGGUAAAGCUGCGACUACAGCGAGGUGGAACGUCGGUAGUGCAAGCGUAACCGAUAAUACGUCCAAUGAAACCCACACUCAAAUCGGAUCAAACACAGAUGGUGUCUUGUAGAUAUACAGGUUCGCUGUAUUACAUAUAGUAGCCGUGAUCCGGUAACGACCAGACGUACGCUGAUAAUCGAUUAGAUGCUGUUUUGUGAUACCGAACGAGAUGCAGACUAGACGGCAGGUUCCGAUAAAUUUCUAGUUAUUUUCAUCCAACCAUUUUCCAUCGCGCUCAUCCCGUACAGGGUCGCGGGGGAAUCCGGAGCCUAUCUCAAGGAACCCGGGCCACAGUGAUGGGCGACACCCUGGACGGGGUUGCCGACACAUCGCAGGGCACAAUCGCACUACGGAUAAUUUGGGAAUACCACUGAGCCUACGACGCAUGUCUUUGGACUUGGGGGUGGAAACCGGAGUACCCGGAGCAAACCUCCGAAGCACGUGGAGAACAUGCAAACUCCGCACACACAGGGUGGAGGCGGGAUUCGAACCCCCAAACCUGGAAGUGCGAUGCAGACAUGUUAACCACUAAGCCACUGUAGCACCACUUGAUUUCCAGCUUAUUAUACUGUAAAUAGUAGUCGAUGAUCCACCGUUUGGUUGAGCUACAAGACUAAUGUUUGGGGGUUUUUUGGAAAAUUUGGGAAACCUUGGGAAAGUGGAAAAGUGCUCUCUAAGAGCACUCAUAGAACCCUAAUUUAAGCGCAUGUUUAGAGUUACAGGCCUGAGUGGCUGUUGGUUCUAUUCUACUAUCUUCUUUGUCCGGCCUUUUCCCAUAUCUACUUGGGGUCGGCUCUCCUAAUCUUUUGUCUCCAGAUUGCUCUGUUCUGGGUCGUCGUUGGGCCUACAUUGUCUCUAGCGAGGUCUUUAUUUAUAACAUCCAUCCAUGUUAGGUGGGGAAUUCCACGGCUUCUCUUUCCUGUACCAAGCUCCAGCACUUUUCUGGUCAUGUGGUAUUCUGUUCUAUUCUACUAUAGUGAACUUUAUACAUUCAUGCAACAUUUUGGUCUGAAAUUGCCGUACAACAACAACAACAACAAGCUAGCUGUCUUUUCAAAAAACCUUUGUUAGUAUGGUCAGUGUUAUAGAUUUAACCAGGUGUCUGAAUAUGAUCUGGUCUAAAGCCAAUAUGGGGCGCACCGGGGUUAGCACGUUCGCCCACACCUCCACGGUCGGGGGUUCGAGUCCCACCGUGGCCCUGUGUGUGCGGAGUUUGCAUGCCGCGGGGGUUUCCUCGGGGUACUCCGGUUUCCUCCCCCAGUCCAAAGACGUGCAUGGUAGGCUGAUUGGCGUGUCUAAACUGUUCGUAGUGUAUGAAUGGGUGUGUGAGUGUGUAUGUGAUUGUGUGCCCUGCGAUGGAUUGGCACCCUGUCCAGGGUGUACCCCGCCUUGUCCCCGAUGCUCCCUGGGAUAGACUCCAGGUUCCCCGUGACCCUGAAAAGGAUAAAGCGCUAUAGAAGACGGAUAUACGGAUGGAACGAGGCAAAUACGUCAGCCGAGAAGACUAUCUCAAUGUGACGAGGCAAAACUGCACGUCGACAGGGCGUUUUCCUCGACGGUUUUUACAAGCUGCGACUUAUCUAAAGGAAGCAUACGGCUUUAAAGGUGCAAAAUUUAGUGUUUUAUUUCUUACUAGUAUACCAGUCUAUAGUAGCACGUGGCUGAGGAAACCCGUUUGGAAAACCUCUCUCCGCUCCGGAACGUUUGCUUGUGUUGUCAUCGACACUCCCUUUUUACUCGGACGUUUUUUUUCCCUCUUCAACAGCUUGCGUCCUCUCUUCUCUCAUUAAGGCAGAGGGUGUAUGAAACUCUUCUAAGCGUAGCGCACUCGCACAUUUUAUAACUCGGCGCCUUCGUUCUCUGCUUUUGAAAAGUAAAAAUCAUUUACAUAAAGUUUGAACUACACACAGUAGCCCAUCUGCUAUGUGAAAUAUUGGUGUGAGCGCACACACACACACACACACACACACACACACACACGUAGUAUUUGUUAGAUUAUUGUGUCAGUAACAGUGCUGAUGUGUCCAAAGCUGUCUGUCUGGAUAUCUAUCUAUCACACUCCUACAUCAUGGCUAGAUGAGUUCAUCACAGCUCACUACCAGCUCCAUGAGACUUUUUUGUUUGUGUGUGUGGUGUGUGUGUGUGGUGUGUGUGUGUGUGUGUGCGCGUGCAUGUGAACGCCUAUACUGUACAUCUGUACACGCGUAUAGCCGAUAUAGCCAAACUGCAUAACACACAUUUCUUCUAUGACAGCAUCGCGGUCCAUUUGAGACUUGCAGCCUUGCUCAGGCUCUGUUCUCAUUCUUCACGAAGUCAUUAAGCAUCCACACUUCAUCACAGCUUUUGCAUGACAUUUGAAAAACAGGCCAGUGUGAUUAUAGAGAGAGAGAGGAAGAAAGAGAUUUCGAAAUGCUCAAGCAGUGCGUUAGCAUUAAAACGGUGUAAUGAGUGUACCAGGCACAUCAGGCGAGCACCUAUGCGGAGUGUCCCACCUUCCAAAAAGCGUGCUGCUAGGUGGAUCGGCUACUCUCGGUGUGAACGAGGGCGCGAAUUAGAGCUGCAACAACUUAGCGCUAAUAAUCGAUUAUGAAAAUCGUUGGAAACGAAUCUCGUUAUCGAUUAGUCUGCGCGUAGCACGGUGUACGUUUACUCCAUCACGUUACUUCUGUUCCGAAAACACGUAUCGGAGAGUGAAUACUAUAGUUGCGUCCCAGAUUAUGUACUGCACACUUACACUAUGCGCUAUGUACUCUAUCGUCUAGCGUAUGAAUUUUAGAAAGGUAAUAUCGUGUUAAAUGGAGCACUCGCGUUUUUUAAUUUGUACUAACUGGAAGUAUAAGCCGCUUUCCUGUCCACGGCAAAAAUGACGUCAAACGCACGUAAAGCUAACUUUAAAGCUUUAAAGCUAACGUAAAGCUAACUUUAACAGAUACCCAGAGUCAAGGACAAUGACUUUCUCCAGUUUACUGUUUAUAUCAAUGUUAUCUUUUAUACCCAACACGACCUCAGUGACCAUCAGACGAGGCGUCAGGCAGGGACGCGUUUUAUAUUAUAGAAGACGAUGCAGUACGGAAGCACGACAGUGAUGCACGAGCACAAACUUGUGUUUAUAUCCAAAAUGCUCCACUGUUCAAGGGGUUGGGGAAACUGGUGCCAGUUGCUUAAAAGGUUUAGUUUAAUAAGUUUAGUUUAAAAAUUUUAUAUAUAUAUAUAAUGAGAGGAAUGAGAGGAAAAAAAUUUAGUAUUUUAUUUCUUACUCGAAAGCGCUCGAUUUUGCUGCAGCGUUUUUCAAAAUUUGCGAUGCAACUUGCUGAGUUUUUAAAAACGACUUGAAAAGUCACAAUUGCACAAAACCGUCUUGCGCAGUGUUGUCUGUCGGUAAACGAGACCUUCUAGACGUACCCGUGUUCGACGCACGUGAAUCGAAGAGGGCUUCACCUGAACGCGCGGCGUGACGACGUCACGUGAGGCGUCUCGGCCCGAAUCUGCGUAAAAUCCUCGGUAAUUUGGAGAAAUUGCAAAUCUCCUCCGAAUAUCCUGGAGUUUGCUUUAAUUUCGCGUUAAUUAGGAUCGCAGAAUCCUGGAGGGACUUUACUAUGUCAUAACAAGAGCGUUAAACACAUCCUGUUAUAAACACAAUGAAACCGAGAACAAAUACUGGACGCUUCGAGUACGUGAGGUCGACGCAGUGAAACCUACACGUGCGACAGUCAGUUCAGGUUUGCGCCACUGUUCAGGGUUUGUUUGGGUCGGAUUGUGUGCUGUCGCCGGGUCUCUACCGUCACCCGCCGUUCACGUCUCAGCUGGAACUGCUUUCCGAGCCGUGCUGUUAAACAAAACUAACGCACACCUUCUGACCAAUCAGAUUCGAGAAUUCACCCAGGCUUGUAUAAAUAAAAAGCAGAGCAUGUUUUCAAAGAAUAAUUUCCUAGGAGUGUUGCAUUCGAUGUUACCGUAUUUAAUUUGUCCAGAAUAAAUCAUUUUAAAAAAUAAUUAAAAAAAUUUUUUGGAAAAUGAAAUAAAAAGGAGGGGGAAAAAACGGGAAAAUCUGUCUCUAUUUUCUCUUAAAGAGAUGAAUUAUGUAAUGAUUAUCACCCUGUUAUUUAUUUAUUUAUUUAUUUAUUUAUUUAUUUAUUUAUGUGUAUGCUCAUUGUGCACAUUGAUUACUGUCAAUGGGUAAAUUAAUCACUGCACUUCACCCAUACACCGUCAUAUGCUCUUCAUUUUACAGCCUUUUACAUUUUUA
ensembl:lncRNA